rnacentral:rRNA from 1 species
GAACCGUCCAAACGUUUAUUCGGAAUCACUGGGCUUAAAGGGUGCGUAGGCGGCUCUGCAAGUUGGGUGUGAAAUCCCUCGGCUCAACCGAGGAAUUGCGCCCAAAACCUGCCGGGCUUGAGGGAGAUAGAGGUGAGUGGAACUACGGGUGGAGCGGUGAAAUGCGUUGAUAUCCGUAGGAACACCGGUGGCGAAAGCGGCUCACUGGAUCUCUUCUGACGCUGAGGCACGAAAGCUAGGGGAGCGAACGGGAUUAGAUACCCCGGUAGUCCUAGCUGUAAACGAUGAGCACUAGAUCGUAGGGAUUUCCCAUGUCCUUUCGGUCGAACUGAAAACGAUUAAGUGCUCCGCCUGGGGGUAGUAUGGCCCGCAAGGCUG